GUAGAGGCCUUGGGAAAACUGGCCAGGAAGUCAAGGAAUGCACCUCAGGUGACUAAAUUUUUUUACAGUUCUGCACUUGCUGGAGAAUGACCCCAAAAGAUAAGACCAAUUUGUUGACUACCAACUGAUUUGGCUGAGCCAUGGACAGGGAGCAAAUGAGCAUUGCCUUUACCUAUGACAUGCAAGAGGAUUCUGAGACCUACCUGCAUCAGGAUCCUGAGCCCCCAGCAAGCUGAGCUGGCCAAAGCUGAGGAACUGCUAGAGCAGCAGCUGGAGCUGGACCAGGCCCUGCUGGAAGGGCAGGAGAGGGUGGUGGGCCCAGGCUCUGGUGCUCAAGAUCCAAAAGCUGAAAAAACAGAUGAAGAGGCACUGAGAGAACCUGGGAGCAGACACCCAAGCUUCCCACGGAUGCCCCCGGCACCCUCCAUCCCUGGAAAUACUGCCCACCGCCCCCCACAGGAACCCCAGGAUCAGAAACACCCCAGCCUCUCCCAGGCCUGGGAAAGCAGAAGAGACCUCCACAAAGGGCUGGCAAUUGGCAGGUAGUUGGGGAACCAGGGCUCUGCAGUCUUGGUCCCAUCCCCCUUUGACCUCACAGCAGGGCACCCAGGCCUUACAGGAAUUUACCCUGGACCAUGCCCUAAAAUAACCUCACCCCAAAUACAAUAAAAUGAGAGAGCACCCACACAUAAUGCAGAUGCACUUGUGUUUCAUGUUUAGCUAUGUUAAACAUUCUGAC
rnacentral:lncRNA from 1 species